rnacentral:lncRNA from 10 species
AUUGUUCAGGUCUUACCACCUAGGCAAUUUUGUUCCUUUAAAACCUGCUGUUUUCUCAUAACCACUUUUUAUUUAUUUAUUGAGGCAAGAUCUCACUCUGUCACCCAGGCUGUAGUGUAGUGGCAUGAUCACAGCUCACUGCAGCUUUAACCUCCUGGGCUUAAGCAAUCCUCCCACCUCAGCCUUCCAAGUAGCUGGAACUACAGAUGCAUGCCACCACACCUGGCUAAUUUUUUGUAUAUUUUUUGUAGAGAUGAGGUCUCACUAUGUUGCCCAGGCUGAGCCUCAUUUCUUACCUAUGAAGUGGAGAUGACUCUACCGUUCAUGGUCAUGAGGAUUAGAAGUGUGCUCAAUAAAUGGUAGUUGUUAAUAUUAUAAUGAGAAGAUAAAGAUUGCUAUCUAAAAAGCUGGCUGCAGUAUUCCUCUUAGGAAAUUGUCUUUUUUCAGGAAGUACCUUGAUAAUCUGUUUGGACAUGAAAGGUGAAUCCCUGUUCCUCCUUAUCCCCACUCAACAUAGUUCAUAAUUAGAAAAAGAAAGAUCUCGACUGGGCACAGUGGCCCACACCUGUAAUCCCAGCACUUUAGGAGGCCAAGGUGAGCAGAUCACUUGAGCUCAGGAGUUCAAGACCAGCCUAGGCAACAUGGCGAAAGCCUGUCUCUACCAAAAAUGAAAGAAAUUAGAAAUUAGCCAGGUGUGACGGUGCACACCUGUGGUCGUCCCAGCUAUUUGGGGGGCUGGGGUAGGAGGAUCACUUGAGCCCAGGACGUUGAGGCUGCAGUGACGAGAUCACACCACGCAACUCCAGCCUGGGUAACAGAGACCCUGUCUCAAAAAAAAAAAAGGAAAAAGAAAAAAUCUAAGUAACCUGCAAAAUACAGUGAGAAUUGUGUGUCUCUGGGGAGGGGAUGGGGAUAAGCCCAGGAUGAAGGAAUUGAGGGGGCCAAGGAAGUAGGACAGGUGGCUGGGGAGAUUGAGAAUGAGCAGCCACCUGAGGGCAGCUGAGGGUACUGAGGAACAGCCUCACCAGGGAGAUGUUUCCUGUGGCAGGUAUGAAGGGACUGGACUGUCAGUGCGUUUUAUGUGCUGGCUAUGACUUAGUCUCUGUUGUCCCCAAAUCAGGGUGAACAUCAGAGCACCUACUGAUUUUGAAAAAAAAUGAAGGAAAAGCCCUAGGUUCCAUGUCUGGGCUGAUGCCAGUGGAGAGAGGGACCAUUUAAACAUUUUUUUUUUUUUUUAGAAACAGGGACUUGGUAUGUUGCCCAGGCUGGACUGGGCUUAAGCCAUCCUCCUGCCUUAGCCUCCUGAGUAGCUGGGACUACAGUCAUGUGCUACUGCACCUUGCUUGAGAAGGGACCUUUUUUUUUUUUGAGACGGAGUCUCACUCUUUCGCCCAGGAUGGAGUGCAAUGGCACAAUCCCGGCUCACUGUAACCUCUGCCUCCCAGGUUCAAGUGAUUUCCCUGCCUCAGCCUCCCAAGUAGCUGGGAUUACAGGUGUGUGCUACCACACCUGGCUAAUUUUGUAUUUUUAGUAGAGACAGGGUUUCACCAUGUUUGGAGAUGUUGGAGGAGAUGCCUCCCACCCUUUAUGGAAUGGGGCCAAAGCCAUUCUAACUUCAGUAUUAAUGAGAAGGAUGAUCCCAUACAGCAGGAGGUGUGGAGGGCAGAUGCUCAGGCUGACAUUAAACAACAGUCUGAGGAAAUGUGAAACGGGCAGGGAAUAUGGCUUCCAUAGGCAUGGCCUACUUGGGGUUCUCAGGUGCCUCGUUUGUUUACACAGUUGAAAGCAUUUUAAAAUAUUCUCAGGACCUGUAGUGGGGUGAGCCCUGGGAAGAGGCCCCAUGUAAUGAGGAUGUCCACCUCUCCUGCAUUCCCACCCAAUGCUCUGGCUUGGCCUUUCCUCCUGAGCUCUGGCCCUGGGCAUGCAAGAGGGUUGUGAGGUAUGGGGCUGUGUUAUUGGGAAAGGCAGCCUCGAGUGAGGGAAGGUAACAUCAUUUUAUCCUGUGUUCAUCCUGGUGUCCAGCCUCAGUAUGCUUCCCACCAAACUGGCCUCCAUGUUAGAACAUGGUCUAUCCUGCCCCCGGGGCUCUUCACAGUCCGAUGGCUGGCCAGCAUUUUCCAGCAGCUUCUACAGUCUGAAAGGGCCCUUUGUCUCCCUUGGUGACAUGAAGAGGUUUGUCACUUCAAAUGUCAGCUGUUACUUGGACUUGAAGGGCAAGUUUGCCCAUGUCCGCCUGUGAGCACCCUGCCCCCCUCCCUACAUGUCCCAGUCCUAGUGUGCUCCAGGGUCCUACUCUAAUGCCACCUGGCCAGCAUCUUAGACCAGGACGGCAUCCCAUCUUUCUCCACAGCACCAGAGCAUGUAUUUUCCAUCACUUCCCAUGCCUCAUUCUCUCUUGUGUUAUAGACACUUAUUUAUGUGUAUGUCCCAUGUCCUGUGCUACUUUAUGCUAAAGCUCCUUGAGGACAGGAAUUAAGUCUCUCUUAGCACACUCAGAAUAUCUGUUGAAUGAAUUAGUGGCUGCCAAGUGCCAGGAACUAUUAUUCUAGGCAAUGGGAAUACAGAGAUGAAUUAUCUUUGCCUGAUCCCCAUUGGCAAAGAAAUCUGGUCUCAUGUGGGGAGAUAGAUCCCUAAAAAGAUGAUGCAAAAGUGGAAAUAUGUGCAAAACAGGGAGGUGGCACAAAGUAUCACAUCCAUCAUGAUGGAGUCCUGGGCUCCCUGGUCAGACAGUUCUGAAUUCAAGUCCUGGCUCUGCCACUUCACAGCUAUGUGACAUUGGCAGUUGCUUCUCUGGGACUCCAUGAGAACAAAAUAAUACCUACAGCAUAGGGUUGUUGAUGUAUGUAAGACCCCUGUCAUGGUGCUUAGCACAUGGUAGUGAUGUAAUACACAUAAGCUGUCUUGCGGAGGGGGCAGGAAAAGCUUUGUAGGCAAGGGGCAAUCUGAACUGAGCUUCUGAAAAAGAGUUCCUUAGAUAGACAAGAGAUAAGUAUUUUAGAGGCAGAGGAAACUUCACAAAUAAACAAUAGUUUAUCAUCAUCCAAAGAAAAGCUUUGAAAAAUGAAACACAAGCCCCACAGCUCAUGGAGUUUGUGCUGCUUAACAUGGACUCCAAAACAUUCAGCAGCUUCAGGGCACAGAUUUUGACUUGGAAGGAGGGAGGGAGAUGUUAAUAAUCUCGAAGUCCCUCUUCAUUGCUGCCACAGGCUCUGACCUCUGCCUGGUAUGGACUGGCCAUGGGGUAGGGUGCCAGAUUUUGGAGGGCAGAAGACUUCCCUGAAGGAAAAAUAAGUUAUUUUUUUGGUAUGCCCAUUCACAGUGAUACAAAGAAGUUUUAUUUCAGAGGCUCCUACCUCUGCACUGCCCUGUCCUUAAAGGAAACUUGUUUUGUUAGGAUGGAUUAGUCUCUUAGAUAAAUAUUUGGUAUUUCCUUUCACAGCAGUUUAGCAAGAGAUGCAAAUCCAGACAUUAAUCAUUCUGCCCUUCUCCUACCUUCCCCCAGUGAAAAUCAUUUCACACCAUCUACCAGUCGUCCUCCACUCUUGGAGAGGUGCAGAGUAGGGUACGCAGCCUUGGGAGAGAGACUGAGAGGUAGAGUUUGUAAGGAGUAGAAUUCUGGAGACACUGCUGCCAGGUGCUAAGCAGCCAGGCACAAUUAUGUAAACUGGAGGGAAUCCCGCCAGCCUUCCUCCUCCAAUGGACAGGAGGGAUUUGUGAGACGCUAGUGAUACUUCUGGGUAAGUUUUAGGUACCUUUAGAGUGAGUGCUGAUCAUUGUCACUCAAGGUAAGAGAGGGCAUGGCUGUGGAAUUUCCUCCUUCAAGAGGCACUUGUGAG